rnacentral:rRNA from 1 species
GUAAGGAAUAUUGGUCAAUGGACGAAAGUCUGAACCAGCCAUGCCGCGUGAAGGAUUAAGGCCCUCUGGGUUGUAAACUUCUUUUAUCUGGGACGAAAAAAGGGUAUUCUUACUCACUUGACGGUACCAGAGGAAUAAGCACCGGCUAACUCCGUGCCAGCAGCCGCGGUAAUACGGAGGGUGCAAGCGUUAUCCGGAUUUACUGGGUUUAAAGGGUGCGUAGGUGGGCUUGUAAGUCAGUGGUGAAAUCUCCGGGCUUAACCCGGAAACUGCCAUUGAUACUAUAGGUCUUGAAUUAUAUGGAGGUAAGCGGAAUAUGUCAUGUAGCGGUGAAAUGCUUAGAUAUGACAUAGAACACCAAUUGCGAAGGCAGCUUACUACGUAUAUAUUGACACUGAGGCACGAAAGCGUGGGGAUCAAACAGGAUUAGAAACCCUUGUAGUCC